rnacentral:rRNA from 1 species
AUACGGAGGAUCCGAGCGUUAUCCGGAUUUAUUGGGUUUAAAGGGUGCGCAGGCGGCCAUUUAAGUCAGCGGUUAAAUCGUGGGGCUCAACCCCAUUCUGCCGUUGAUACUGGGUGGCUUGAUUGCGGUCGAGGUUCGCGGAAUUCGUUGUGUAGCGGUGAAAUGCAUAGAUAUGACGAAGAACACCGAUUGCGUAGGCAUCUGACCAGACCGCAAAUGACGCUCAUGCACGAAAGUGCGGGGAUCGAACAGGAUUAGAUACCCUGGUAGUCCGCACAGUAAACGAUGAAUACUUGUUUUCGGUGAUAUAAUGUCGGAGGCAAAGCGAAAGCGAUAAGUAUUCCACCUGGGGAGUACGCCGGCAACGGUGAAACUCAAAUGAAUUGGCGGGG